rnacentral:rRNA from 1 species
GACGAACGCUUGCGGCGUGCUUAACACAUGCAAGUCGAACGGAAAGGCCCUGCUUUUGUGGGGUGCUCGAGUGGCGAACGGGUGAGUAACACGUGAGUAACCUGCCCUUGACUUCGGGAUAACUUCAGGAAACUGGGGCUAAUACCGGAUAGGAGCUCCUGCUGCAUGGUGGGGGUUGGAAAGUUUCGGCGGUUGGGGAUGGACUCGCGGCUUAUCAGCUUGUUGGUGGGGUAGUGGCUUACCAAGGCUUUGACGGGUAGCCGGCCUGAGAGGGUGACCGGCCACAUUGGGACUGAGAUACGGCCCAGACUCCUACGGGAGGCAGCAGUGGGGAAUAUUGCACAAUGGGCGGAAGCCUGAUGCAGCAACGCCGCGUGCGGGAUGACGGCCUUCGGGUUGUAAACCGCUUUCGCCUGUGACGAAGCGUGAGUGACGGUAAUGGGUAAAGAAGCACCGGCUAACUACGUGCCAGCAGCCGCGGUGAUACGUAGGGUGCGAGCGUUGUCCGGAUUUAUUGGGCGUAAAGGGCUCGUAGGUGGUUGAUCGCGUCGGAAGUGUAAUCUUGGGGCUUAACCCUGAGCGUGCUUUCGAUACGGGUUGACUUGAGGAAGGUAGGGGAGAAUGGAAUUCCUGGUGGAGCGGUGGAAUGCGCAGAUAUCAGGAGGAACACCAGUGGCGAAGGCGGUUCUCUGGGCCUUUCCUGACGCUGAGGAGCGAAAGCGUGGGGAGCGAACAGGCUUAGAUACCCUGGUAGUCCACGCUGUAAACGGUGGGUACUAGGUGUGGGGUCCAUUCCACGGGUUCCGUGCCGUAGCUAACGCUUUAAGUACCCCGCCUGGGGAGUACGGCCGCAAGGCUAAAACUCAAAGGAAUUGACGGGGCCCCGCACAAGCGGCGGAGCAUGCGGAUUAAUUCGAUGCAACGCGUAGAACCUUACCUGGGUUUGACAUGGAUCGGGAGUGCUCAGAGAUGGGUGUGCCUCUUUUGGGGUCGGUUCACAGGUGGUGCAUGCCUGUCGUCAGCUCGUGUCGUGAGAUGUUGGGUUAGGUCCCGCAACGAGCGCAACCCUUGUUCACUGUUGCCAGCACGUUAUGGUGGGGACUCAGUGGAGACCGCCGGGGUCAACUCGGAGGAAGGUGGGGAUGACGUCAAGUCCUCAUGCCCCUUAUGUCCAGGGCUUCACGCAUGCUACAAUGGCUGGUACAGAGAGUGGCGAGCCUGUGAGGGUGAGCGAAUCUCGGGAAGCCGGUCUCAGUUCGGAUUGGGGUCUGCAACUCGACCUCAUGAAGUCGGAGUCGCUAGUAAUCGCAGAUCAGCAACGCUGCGGUGAAUACGUUCCCGGG